GAGGGGCAUGUGAGGGCUGUCGCUGACUCAAAGUCGUGCACGCCCGAGUGUGUCCUCUCACAUAAUAAUCCAUCUCACCCUUUGUGCAUCGCCGCGUGGGCACCCUUUGGGAUCAUCUCGGAGGGGGCUCGCGUUUUCACACAAACCCCCCUUUUAAAAGUGUAGAAUGACCUCAUUUAUGCGCUAACACGCAAUCAAUACAACUUUCAACAACGGAUCUCUUGGCUCUCGCAUCGAUGAAGAACGCAGCGAAAUGCGAUACGUAAUGUGAAUUGCAGAAUUCAGUGAAUCAUCGAAUCUUUGAACGCACCUUGCGCCCCUUGGUAUUCCGAGGGGCACACCCGUUUGAGUGUCGUGAAAACCUCAACCUCCUUGGUUUCUUCUGGAGACCAAAGGCAGGCUUGGACUUUGGAGGCCUUUGCUGGAACCUCUCUCUUUUGAAGGCCAGCUCCUCUUAAACGAAUUAGCAGGGUCCUCUUUGCCGAUCCUCGACGUGUGAUAAGAUGUUUCCAUGUCUUGGUUUCUGGCUCUGUCACUUUUGGGACCCGCUUCUAACCGUCUUGACCUUGCAUCGAGACAAUGUUCGAGCAUGUCUCCCUUCUCGGGAAGCUCCCUCGACCCCACGAACCCUUGACCUCAAAUCGGGUGAGACUACCCGCUGAACUUAAGCAUAUCAAUAAGCGGAGGAAAAGAAACUAACAAGGAUUCCCCUAGUAACUGCGAGUGAAGCGGGAAAAGCUCAAAUUUAAAAUCUGGCGGUCUUUGGCCGUCCGAGUUGUAUUUUAGAGAAGCGUCUUCCGCGCUGGGACCGUGUACAA
rnacentral:rRNA from 1 species